GGUCCCAAAGUCUUCAAGAUUAGACCAAUGAGAGACUCCAUCACCAUCACUAUUACCAUCACCACCGCUCUGAAUGGACACUCUCAAGGGAUACAACUGAAAAGCCGCUUCUAUUUCUCAAAGUAAAUCUACUGACACGUGAUAUACGGAAUAGCAUGGAGAGGGCUCAUGGGAGCUUCAGACCCCAGCCAACCUGGCUCAGAAGACCCUGACUCAACUUGAGCUUUCAGACUUUGAAGUCGUCACUCCUUAACAACAGAAGAUUAUUCAUGGAAUUCACCAGAAGAUUGGGGGUUUCCUGGAAAAAUACACCCAGUCAGGUCAGUCUGCAGCAUGGAAGAGGACUUGCCCUUGAUUCCACUGCAGUAUCAAAGAUGUUGUGAAGAUCAUAGGCUGGGAUCAGAAACCAGGCCUGAUCUCUCGUCACUAGACCACUCUGCUUCUCUACUAGGAUCACGCUGGACAUUUCCUCUCAAAGACAUCUGCAACCCAGCUUCCUUACCUGCCAAGCCAUCUUCUGCAACAACACUUCACAUACCAGAUAGAACAUGAAUUUGAAGCGUUGAUACUGGACCGUCAAAAGCAGAGCCCGUGAGUCAGCCUGAGUCUUCGGAGCCACUCAAUCUGGUCCCUGUACAUCCACAGAACAUUUGAAUCUGUUUCUGAGCUGUCGAUCAAACACCCAGGCACCUUGCAGGCUGGGCUGUCUCUACCUCCCACUUUGCUGAAUCAACGGUCAUCCUACCAGUAGGUGAGGGUCACCCACGCCGGCAGAAGACAACGCUGUCUCUAGGUGGCAACAGAACAUUCAAAAAAGCCUGAAACUUUGAGGAAGCAGCAUGGUCUAGUGGAAA